rnacentral:rRNA from 1 species
AUUGAACGCUGGCGGCAGGCCUAACACAUGCAAGUCGAACGAGUGGCGGACGGGUGAGUAACGUCUGGGAAACUGCCCGAUGGAGGGGGAUAACUACUGGAAACGGUAGCUAAUACCGCAUACCAUCGGAUGUGCCCAGAGGGGAUUAGCUAGUAGGUGGGGUAACGGCUCACCUAGGCGACGAUCCCUAGCUGGUCUGAGAGGGUGACCGGCCAAACUGGAACUGAGACACGGUCCAGACUCCUACGGGAGGCAGCAGUGGGGAAUCUUGCGCAAUGGGCGAAAGCCUGAUGCAGCCACGCCGCGUGAGUGAAGAAGGCCUUCGGGUUGUAAAGUACUUUCAGCAGGGAAGCGUUACUCGCAGAGGAAGCACCGGCUAACUCCGUGCCAGCAGCCGCGGUAAUUC